rnacentral:rRNA from 1 species
CCUACGGGUGGCAGCAGUGGGGAAUAUUGGACAAUGGGGGCAACCCUGAUCCAGCCAUGCCGCGUGUGUGAAGAAGGCCCUCGGGUUAUAAAGCACUUUCAGUGAGGAAGAACGCCUGGUGGUUAAUACCCAUCAGGAAAGACAUCACUCACAGAAGAAGCACCGGCUAACUCCGUGCCAGCUGCCGCGGUAAUACGGAGGGUGCGAGCGUUAAUCGGAAUUACUGGGCGUAAAGCGCGCGUAGGUGGCUUGAUAAGCCGGUUGUGAAAGCCCCGGGCUCAACCUGGGAACGGCAUCCGGAACUGUCAAGCUAGAGUGCAGGAGAGGAAGGUAGAAUUCCCGGUGUAGCGGUGAAAUGCGUAGAGAUCGGGAGGAAUACCAGUGGCGAAGGCGGCCUUCUGGACUGACACUGACACUGAGGUGCGAAAGCGUGGGUAGCAAACAGGAUUAGAUACCCUGGUAGUC